GUCAGGAGAGACCUAACUUCCUGUCCAUCUCGUUUAGACGUGGUGUCUCCCAGCUGCAGCCCCACGGCCGUCGCCUGGCACCCUCAUCAGAGCAGCACCAUCGCAUACGGUGAUGAACUGGGUCGAGUGACUCUGAGGGAUCUGCAGACGUCGGACGGUGUACGGACGAUAAAUGCUCACAGCCGCCGCGUCUCCAGACUGACGUUCUCCUCCGACAGUUCACCCCUGCUGGCCUCUAUCAGUGACGACUGCUCCGUUGCCGUGGUUACUGAAGAGCUCAGGGAAAUGUGAGUAUUGACACAUGCCUCUCUCCUCAUUGGCUGUCCUGCACCAGCCAAUCAGAACACAGGAAAUCCCCCCCCCCGAAGUACAUGGAACUGACAAUCAUUGGAAACCGUUUUUGUGUCUUAAAUAUUUUAACACGUAUAUCUAAUUUAAUUACAAACAAUUCAAUAAUAA